AUUGAACGCUGGCGGAAUGCUUUACUCAUGCAAGUCGAACGGCAGCACGGGAGCAAUCCUGGUGGCGAGUGGCGAACGGGUGAGUAGAGUAUCGGAACGUGCCCAGUCGUGGGGGAUAACGUAGCGAAAGUUACGCUAAUACCGCAUACGAUCUAUGGAUGAAAGCGGGGGAUCGCAAGACCUCGCGCGAUUGGAGCGGCCGAUAUCAGAUUGGGUAGUUGGGGGGGUAAAGGCUCACCAAGCCGACGAUCUGUAGCUGGGCUGAGAGGACGACCAGCCACACUGGGACUGAGAAACGGCCCAGACUCCUACGGGAGGCAGCAGUGGGGAAUUUUGGACAAUGGGCGAAAGCCUGAUCCAGCCAUGCCGCGUGGAGGAUGAAGGCCUUCGGGUUGUAAACUGCUUUUGUACGGAACGAAAAGGUUUGACCUAAUAAGCUGAGCUCAUGACGGUACCGUAAGAAUAAGCACCGGCUAACUACGUGCCAGCCGCCGCCGUAA
rnacentral:rRNA from 1 species